GAGCACUAAAGUACAAACCCUCGGCUGGUGACAUGAUUACAAAGAAACCAGAGGAGUGAUAUAAUACAGUGCAUGUAGUGCAGAUGUUAUCAUGUUCGAUAUGUAUGAUUUGUCUAGCACAGAACCAGACUGGAGGCAUGCUGAAACAUUUGAGAACAGGGUUUUAGUGGCACAUAGAUAUAUGCACUGUGGACUAGGAUCACAGCAAAGAAGUCUCAGAGAAGUAUGGCUCCUGCAUGGAUCCCAGAGUCAGCUAUCACAUUCUAUAUAGAGGUUAUGCAGAUUCGCUCAAAAAGCAUGAAAAAGGGUAGCCUCGAUCCCAGGCCGAGUUUUCGCUUUUAUAACGGUUAGGCGAACAACUGGGCCUGGUACUAGUUGUCUGCGCAUGCGUCAGUCGUUCGUCAGAUUCUGACGAAUGGAUAUUCUCGUUCACUUUCGUGACAUUUAUAUUUGUGUACUAUCGUGUACUAGAAGUCAGUUCCCGUUUUAUCAUUAUUUGGAAUGGCUCUUAGCUGAAGCUUCUCUCUUCUCUGAAGCUUAUUCUGAAGACUGAACAACAAGGGAAGAGGUAUAAAGCUUUGUCAAGCUUGUUAAGGUCAGAUAUUUUGUGUGGGCCCUAUGGCCGGCUAUGCUAUCAAGUCUUGUUCAUGUUUGGCAAGAAUGUAGGUAGACUAUAGUUUCAUCAUUAAUAUGGUGGAUCAAGUGAAGAGUGUGAGCUAGAGAACUUGGUGCUGCCAUCAUCAGCUCGUCGACAAUGACACUAUAACCGAGAAAUUUAAUAUGUAUAGAUCUACACGUAUUUAAAAUGUCUACUUCUCUGUACAGGAGCAAUGGCUAAUAUCCAGCUAUCCCAACAGUGCUCCUCUUGGCUAUACUAACGGACGAGACUGGACAGUUUGAGACACAGGACUGGAGUAUGACCUGCUCAUUCGAGCGUUGCUGGGUAGCUCAGAGACAUCAAGAGAAUCUACGUUUUCUCAAGCAAUGAGUUACGAGUUGGGGCCUAGAAUCAGAGAAGUCCAGCAGCCUGCUAAAUCUUUUUGAAACGUAAUUUGAAGGCAUUCAAUCAUCCUGAAGUUGCCCUGGGUCACUGUAAUUGUGCUGCAGCACAACUGGCAACUCCCCAGGCCUUUGUGAAGCAGCUCCCUAUGUGCAUCUUUUGUGUACUCACUCUGUGCAUUUUCUGUGUACAAAUUUCCAUUAUUGAUUUAUUAAAUAUUUUUGCCGACCACAAA